CUCAGAGCCGCGCCGAUCUCCUCACCCACACACCCCCGGCUCUGCGAACACAAGAUGGCCUCCCGCCGGCCGGGCCCCGAGUCCGCGCGGCGCCAGCGGCGGGUAGAUGACCAAACAGAGAUGCCUUCUUGUGUAACUGUUCUGAUUAUUGGAGCUGGAUGCCGGGGAAAACACUACUCUUAUUUUGCUGUGCAUUUCCCCAACCGAAUGAAGGUAGUUGGAGUUGCAGAUCCUCGUGCUUUUGCUAGAAAUGAUCUUCAGAAGAUUCACAGCAUUGACAAGAAAAAUGUAUUUAAUGACUGGAAAGUAGCCGCAGAGAGAGAGAGGUUUGCGGAUGCUGUUAUAAUAGCAACACCAGACAGACUGCAUAAGGCUCCAGCAAUAGCUUUUGCUAACAAAGGCUACCACAUUCUGUUGGAAAAGCCCAUGGCAGUAACACCUGAGGACUGCAAAGAAAUUGUGUCUGUAUGUAAAGCUAACAAUGUCAUGCUUGCAGUGUGCCAUGUCCUGCGGUACUAUCCAGCCUCACUGAAGAUAAAGGAGCUACUAGAUGCUGGAGCAAUUGGAGACAUCUGCCACAUACAGCAUCUGGAGCCCGUUGGAUUCUGGCAUUUUGCCCACUCGUUUGUGAGAGGAAAUUGGAGGAAUGAAGCAGAAAGUACAUUUUCGUUGUUAGCCAAAUCCUGCCAUGACAUCGACCUCAUUAAUUUUUGGAUGGGUGAUAAAAGGUGCUUAAAGGUGUCAUCUUUUGGCAGUCUUUCUCAUUUUACUAAUGAGCAUAAGCCCAAAGGAGCUGCCAGUCGGUGCUUAGACUGUUCAGUCGAACAAACCUGUCCAUAUUCAGCCAAGAAGAUUUAUCUGCACCAUGCAGAGAAGGGUUAUUUUAAUUGGCCAGUCUCUGUUGUGUGCAAUAGUGGUGUUUGUGACAUAGAAUCUGUGACAGAGGCUCUACGCAGUAGUCCAUAUGGAAGAUGUGUUUAUGAAUGUGACAAUGAUGUUGUCAGUAACCAGGUUGUUAAUAUGGAGUUUGAAGGAGGAGCAACAGCUGCUUUUACUAUGAUGGCCUUUACGGAGCGACUGGGUACGAGGAAAACCACAAUCUAUGGGACCAAGGGAGAACUAUUCUGUGAUGGGGGGGGACCAGUGCAAGUUUUUGACUUUUGCACAAGAGAGAAAACUGCUUAUCCAACAAACAAAUCCGCAUUCAUUCCAAGCCAUUUAAUGGGGCACGAUGGAGCUGACUACUAUCUGAUGGACAGCUUUAUUUCAGCGUUAACUAAAAAAGACUGCAAGAUAAAAUGUGAUUUAUAAAAUGGCUCUUCCUUCAAAUGUUAAAACUUUGAGUGUCAGAGGAAGCUGGAACAUCAGCUAAAGUUUGUCUUCUGAGGAUGCAAAGUUUUAAGUAAAGGAGAUGCAACACAGUCCUCGGGCCUCUGCCCUCACAUUUACUUUUGUUUUUAUUUUUUAAAACGAAGACAAUCCUAUGUAAAACCCCCUUGGUAAUUAGGGUUGCACAAGUGCAUGUCUUCACAAAAACACAAACAUUAAAAAGCACAAAACACGUAAGUUAAAGGAACAUUCAUUCUCAACACAAUACCAGUCUCCAAGCAUUAGGUUACUACCACAAUGCUACUCAACCACUGCAAAAAGAAACCUGAAAAAUUGGAGCGAGUUAAAGCUACAAGAAUGAUGUGCGGUCUGACAGCAUGUCCCACAAAGAGAAACUUCCACUCAGUCCAUUUCGUUCACCUCAGAGAAGGUUAAGAGGGCAUGGUAUAUGGAGAUGCUAAAAACGGCAAUUUUAAGAUUAUAGCUAUUAACUGUAGCAUUGGAAAGUCAGAGCUAAGGUGUUUUGCAGAGCGAUCAGUCAUGUGAUAUGUACAUUUGAGAAUGGGGCGAUAGCACUAGCUGAAUCGAAGAUGGUCUGAAGCCUAAACUUUGUGACCAAUGCAUAUCCCAAGCAGCUGGGCUGGUCCCCAGGGAGUGAUUCUGGGACUGAGUGGGAAAAAUCCUUUCCCCCCCUGCCACACUGUGGCAGUAGAGCUGCUCAGCUGCCUCGUCGCUACUUUUGCUGACAUCAUGUGGGAGGAAAAGCCACUGGAUUCAUAGCUAUUAAGACUGGAUAGAUACAGAUAUGGAUACCUAAUAGCUUUCUUUGACAAGGUAACAAGCCUUGUGGACAGAGGGGAAGCGGAGAAUAAACCAUCCCUCAUUCAGACUGGUCCAGAAGCAACCCUGCAGUCCCACCUCCUUGUAUUUGAGGCCGAGAAAUCCAGAAAAGAAAACCG